rnacentral:rRNA from 1 species
CCUACGGGAGGCAGCAGUGAGGAAUCUUGCUCAAUGGCCGGAAGGCUGAACCAGCCAUGCCGCGUGAAGGUCAGUGCCCUAUGGGCGUUAAAAUUCUUUUGUGCGGGAGCCAUAAUGGUCACGUGUGGCCAGACGAGAGUACCGUACGAAUAUGCAUCGGCUAACUCCGUGCCAGAAGCCGCGGUCAUACGGGGGAUGCAAGCGUUAUCCGGAUUGAUUGGGUUUAAAGGGUGCGUAGGCUGUGAGGUAAGUCAGCGGUAAAAGUGCGGGGCUAAACCUCGUCGAGCCGUUGAAACUGGCAGACUUGAGUUGGCGAGAAGGACGCGGAAUGCGCGGUGGAGCGGUGAAAUGCAUAGAUAUCGCGCAGAACUCCGAUGGCGAAGGCAGCGUACCGGCGCCAGACUGACGCUGAGGCACGAAAGCGUGGGGAUCGAACAGGAUUAGAUACCCGUGUAGUC